AUUGAACGCUGGCGGCAGGCCUAACACAUGCAAGUCGAACGGUAACAGAAAGCAGCUUGCUGCUUUGCUGACGAGUGGCGGACGGGUGAGUAAUGUCUGGGAAACUGCCUGAUGGAGGGGGAUAACUACUGGAAACGGUAGCUAAUACCGCAUAACGUCGCAAGACCAAAGAGGGGGACCUUCGGGCCUCGUGCCAUCGGAUGGGCCCAGAGGUGAUUAGUUUGUUGGUGGGGUAACGGCUCACCAAGGCGACGAUCCCUAGCUGGUCUGAGAGGAUGACCAGCCACACUGGAACUGAGACACGGUCCAGACUCCUACGGGAGGCAGCAGUGGGGAAUAUUGGACAAUGGGCGCAAGCCUGAUGCAGCCAUGCCGCGUGUAUGAAGAAGGCCUUCGGGUUGUAAAGUACUUUCAGCGGGGAGGAAGGGAGUACAGUUAAUACCUUUGCUCAUUGACGUUACCCGAAGAAGAAGCACCGGCUAACUCCGUG
rnacentral:rRNA from 1 species